UAGAUUAAUGUAGGUAAGGGAAGUCGGCAAAUUAGAUCCGUAACUUCGGGAUAAGGAUUGGCUCUGAAGACUGGGAUGACUCAGGCUAUACCCUCCCGGGUGCACUCCCCGUCCGGCGGUCCGUUCGCGCGGGCUGCCGCGGGGCCCCGGGGUCCGGGGUUUGCCUCAACGCGUGCCCCCGCGGUCGGCUCGGGUCCGGCUCGCGCCGGCCUCUGGCCGCGGGACCGCUGCAGUCAUCAAUAAACAGUCAAUUCAGACUGUCAAUAAACAGUCAAUCCGACUGUCUAAUUAAAACAAAGCAUUGUUAUGGCUUUAAAAAGUGUUGACACAAUGUGAUUUCUGCCCAGUGCUCUGAAUGUCAACGUGAAGAAAUUCAAGCAAGCGCGGGUAAACGGCGGGAGUAACUAUGACUCUCUUAAGGUAGCCAAAUGCCUCGUCAUCUCAUUAGUGACGCGCAUGAAUGGAUUAACGAGAUUCCCUCUGUCCCUAUCUACUAUCUAGCGAAACCACAGCCAAGGGAACGGGCUUGG
rnacentral:ncRNA from 1 species